rnacentral:lncRNA from 1 species
AGACUAUAAUGGCGUUUCUGGGCCGCUGGUGUUGCUGAUGUUCUUAUUUUACUUUUUAUUUACAGUGGUACCUCGGGUUACAGACGUUUCAGGUUACAGACUCUGCUAACCCAUAAAUAUUACCUCAGGUUAAGAACUUUGCUUCAGGAUGAGAACAGAAAUCGUGCGGUGAUGGCAGCAGGAGGCCCUAUUAAAGUGGUACCCCAGGUUAAGAACAGUUUCAGGUUAAGAACAGACCUCCAGAACGAUUUAAGUUCUUAACCCGAGGUACCACUGUAUUUUCGUUCGCUUUAUAUUUUUAUGAAAAAUCUCAAAGCGGUUUACAGCAUAUUAAAUCAAUAAAACAUAAAAGCAUCUGAAGAAAGUCAAAUAUAGAGUAUACAGUGGUACCUCUGGAUGUGAACAGGAUCCGUUCCGGAGCACUGUUCACAUCCUGAGCAGAACACAACCCGCAUCUGUGCGGGUUGCGAUUCGCCGCUUCCGUGCAUGCGUGUGACAUCGUUUUGAGUGUGCAUGCGUGAGUGGCGAAACCUGGAAGUAACUCCGUUACUUCCGAGUCGCUGCAGAGCACAACCUGAAAACUCUCGACCUGAAGCGACUUUAACCCAAGGUAUGACUGUACAGUGGACCCUCGGGUUAUGUUACCUGUGGGUAGCGUAACUUUCGGGUUGCAAGCACUGCAAACUUCCGUAUACUUCUGGGUUUUGCUCUGCGCACAUGUGCAGAAGCACUCUAUCACACCACACGUGUGCGCACAAGCGGCACCUCGUUGCGAACUUUUCGGGGUAUGUAAGGACCCCCAGAACGAAUUAAGUUCGUAUCCGGAGGGUCCACUGUACAGUCGAAGCAACGUAACACAAAACUAAAAUAUGAUCUUAAAAGAUUUCAAAAUAAAACAUUACAAAGGAGGUCAAGUACAGAAUACAUACUUAACAUUUAUCUAGUACUGAAUACUGCAUGGCAGCAGAUUUCCCUGCAUUUCUUCAAAAUCAUACAAAUAGAUAAUUUGUACUACUUACUGAUGCAGAGAGUAUGGACUUUACUCUUUAGUGUGCACCUGCUUUAAAAAGCAGUCUGCUCUCUGGCAUCAAGCCAGAAAUUAAAAAUUGAUAGAUGGAUCUUAGUUUCAACCGGGAAUAUGUCAGUUUCCCCUAAAAAAAAAAAAAUGCAGGUUUGCCUUUAGGAACACCUAAUAUUUCUCAUUUACUUUUUCUGAAAAUAGUUAAAAGCUGGUGUUCCAUAUGUCCCUCAAACUUUUUAAAAAAAGAAACACCAAAAAACUUUGACUCAAAACUUUGAUUUUGAUAAGCUAAGAAUGUACUGUACACCCUCAAUUCUUUGCCAGAGCUUUAGCAGCUGCCUUCAGUUUUCCAUUUGGCAGCUCUGAAAAUUCAAGGAACUAAUGGCACUUUACCUACUCAGUUGCCUUGGAAAUAAGAUGCAGCAUAUGCAGGUUGGAUUUACAUCCAAAUAUCACCACCUCCCCCCCCCCCCCCAAAUCUGUAAGUAGUUUUUGCAAUGUAUUCCCAGAGUUUGUAAUAAUCCUCUAAGACUGAUCUGUGCAAAACACAUGCAUACCCACAAAAGCAAAAGUCUAUAGUGUUCCAAAAUCUACUUCCUAUUCCCAGGUUCAAAGCGAAAAAUGGUUAACUGCUGGUUUCAGAACAAUAUUUAUAAAGAAGCUAAAGAGUGGUUGAAGCAAGCCCUCUUUCAAUUCCCCAGGUAACAAGUAGAUUUAGAGAGCCUGAAAAGAAAGCCUAAGGUUUUUAAAGUUUUUUUUUUAAGUACCACUAUUAAGGGGGUUGUAAUAAAUAUGGCAAAGCUUAUAUUUGACCAAAAUAUUAUGCCUAAACAAAAUCAAUUUUCUCCAUACAUCAACUAAAGCAGCAAAGGCAAAGGCUUCCUUAAUGAAAAUAUUUAUGCAGCUUGUGGUUGAGCACAGAACAUUAAUCCACUGGGGAGAAGCCUCUUCUUACUCCAGCCGCCUCAUUAAAAAUGCAAUUUCUUAUUGCCCAGUUCUCAAGUUCUCUCGACUACUUUGCAUACAGUUUUACAGCUGUGUUAAUCAAAAUUAUCAAUCUGUAAUUGGUAGGUAGCUUCCUAUUGCCCUCCCUUUAAAAACAGGAACCAUAAUACUCAAAUCAUACCCAAGAGGAGAAAUACUUGCCAAAUCAGUAUAAUCUUAAACCUGGGAGCCAUGGUUACAUUUAAACAAUCUGUAUGUCGUGUUAUCCUCCGUCAAUGCCUUUAGAGCAGGUAUGUUCAAAGUCCGGCCCAGGGGAACAGUUUAUUUCAAUCCCCCCCAAAAUUCAACAACUUUGGUGUAAAACCGGAAAAGUUUGGACACCCCUGCUUUAGAGAGAUGGCUCCAGCUUGCUUGCCCAAGAUCUCUGCCAUUCCAGCAGGUCCACUGGCACCAGGAACCAAGAUGGAUUUGAUGCCACUCCAAAGGCUUUGAAAGCGAAGAGCCCUCAUCAACCCAACAGACCUUGAGCAAAGUAAGGGUUUCCCCCUGCAUGGCGUAGCAUCCUACCAGGUGCAUUGCGGAGGGAAGCAUGACUGACUACACUGCCAUGCAGUUCACCAGUGGAAACAGCCAUGUCUCUUCCCACCCCGAACCUGUGUACCUGACAGGAUGCUACUUUACAUUGAAGUCCUUUCUCAGAUGCAGUUUUGGGCUGAGAAUCGGGGUGAUCACUGCCACUGUUUUGCUAUAGGGGGGUUAAGAGUGGGUGGGGAGCAGAGCAGGUGAAGGAGGGUGGCAUGGGUAGAGUCUUCAAGGUCAGACGGAGAAGCCUGGAGCAUCGUGUUAGGCCAUGGGUAGGCAAACUAAGGCCCGGGGGCCGGAUCCGGCCCAAUCACCUUCUAAAUCCGGCCCGUGGACGGUCCAGGAAUCAGCGUGUUUUUACAUGAGUAGUAGAAUGUGUCCUUUUAUUUAAAAUGCAUCUCUGGGUUAUUUGUGAGGCCUGUCUGGUAUUUUUUACAAGAGUAGAAUUCAUUCAUUUUUUAAUUUUAAUUUUAAAUAUAGCCUGGCCCCCCACAAGGUCUGAGGAACAGUGGACCAGCCCCCUGCUGAAAAAGUUUGCUGACCCCUGUGUUAGGCCACUGGACGCAAAGUUCCCCAAUCCCUGUUGUAAACAGUGUUGCAUAGCUACUGAACGUGCUCUUUGGACUGUUACUGGUGCAGGGGGAGAGAGAUUUCCAAAGAGACUUCCCUCCUGUGACUGUUGCCAUUUUGGCUACAUAAGUGAUGGUCUUCUGAGAAUUGAAUAAUCAGAAUGGAGGCUAUAGGGUACCUUUCCAGGAAUCGCAUCUUCCCCUGGGGCCUUAUCACACAGCAGCUUGUAAUUAGUUUCUCUAUGUCAGGAUUUAUCUACUGGUAUAUGGGUCCAUAGAUCGGUAUCACGGAAAUUAACAUUAAAAUCUUGCAAAGCUAGAUCAGGAAAGUCUUACCAAAUACAGACAGGAAGUGUGAUCUCCAGGCAGGUUGUGAAACACCGGUUGUUAAAAUAUUGUUAUAAUAAUAAAAACCAUAAUUAACAAUUUCUCAGAUGUUGGCACUGUUUGAAUUUCAGAACCGAGAGAAGCCCAAAGCUGCCUUUGGUAAUCAACCUUCCUUUUCAAUAGAAAUUUUUAUUCCUUUUUUGCUUUCUAAGACCCUGGUGGACUAUUCUUUCUUAGCUGAUUUGCACAUUAUCGAAUCAUAAAGGUUUGAAAAUUGGUUUAUUGAAGCUGGGACCACAGGAGCUGGCUUAAUAUUUUCCCGCAUUUGUUGAAAAGUACCAUAAGACUGGAAGAAGCCAAAUCUUCAGUUUAAAAUCUGAUACACAAGGGUUAUAGGAUCAGAUGUUAAUAGGUUACUAAUAUCCACCACAGGCCCAUCUCAGUGAAGAUAUUUAGACUAUGAAACUUCUACUGCUAUCAUAUUUGGAAUUACAACAUUCCCAUAUCAGAAUAUUUUUUAAAUUGGCUUUGAUUGCCUAUUGAAUGCUGCUUCCAUUUUGGUGGUAUAUCAGAUCCCCAAAACUGUCAAUAACAUAUGCAUAGCACAAGCACUGGUGGCAGAAAUAUGUGAAUAUUUUCCAUAACAGUCAAUGGGACUUCUUCCACUUAAUUUUUUUUGAUGUAACAUAGGGCCCAUUCCCACAUUAUAUUAUGUGUGUAACUUGCAGUCAUGUCAGGAGUUUAAAAAAACUAAUUAAAUGUGCAGUUCUCAGUUAGGGUUGCCAUAUUUUGACGGGCAAAACAGAGGACACAUUUGCCGACUUACACUUUUGACUAUGGAUCUCUAUGAUGACUCUCAUCAUGAAAAAGAAGGUGUGUCCUGGAAAAAGAGGACAUAUGGCAACCCUAGUUGGGAGGAUUUAACCUUUCCCAGCCCACCUGUGAUUCCAGUGAACAUUACCUACCCCAUGCUGCAGUUAGUGAUGGGGAAAGCACCAGUUCUAGUGCCAACAAAAUACAAGAAUCCUUAGAUUUCAUUAGAGGAAGGGGGGAAAUGUCCAUUUCCCUCAAGUCCCAGUUUUGCUGUAAUAGUCUUGGUAUUCCUGCCAAUAAAUAUACCAGCCAACGUUGUAACAGUUUGGAUAACUAUCCUUGUGAGUUUCAAUCAGAAAAAAGCAACAUUUUUCUAAACAGCAUCAAUAAAGUACUUGGAAUUUAUAAGGGGAAUAUAAACAUUGAUUAAAAACUAAGACCAUCUGUCUUCAUUCUGGAUCUUAUCUGUGAUGUUUAUAUUUAAUGUGUAGUCUUGAGUUGUUUAAAAUAACUUACCCUUUUUUCCCCCUUCUGCAACUAGAACUUAUUCCUAGGAAACAAAAUUUCAUCAGUGUCAGGCUCAGUGACCCAAGAUUGCUGGAAAGAAACAUGUGUUACAUCACACUUUUGUUUUUUGAAAAACUGAAAAUUUCACAAUUGCUCGUACAAGGAGACUUCCAGGCUGGUUGGUUGAAAUGUUGCAGCUGCUGAAAGGAUCUCCAGAGAUGGGGUGUGAUCCACCUGCUUCCUUGCCACAAGAGGGGAACUGGAUGGUGCACAACUUGAGUUACUGCCAUAGGAAAAAAUGAGCAUUAUGAAUUAAUCACACGUGUUCCUUAAUUUAAACUAUUCUCUUUUAUUCUAGAGUCCCAUACAGUGUUAGGGAGAAUAGUUUCCUUCAUAUACAGUACCUCAGUUCUGCAAAGCUACUUUUUCUGCAAAUAAGCAUAUACCAAUGUACAUUCUUCUGCAUUUUCUCUUUGUGUUCUGAGAAAUAACUUUUAUACAAUCACAAAGAACAAAAAUGGUGCAAUCCACUCUCCCUUAGCUUAUCAAAUGUUCCUUCUUUAGCUCUUUUGCUGAUGUCCCUGGCUUAUGUACAGUUUCAGUUACAGUUACCAGCCUCCACAUCAAAUGUUUACUUUUACUGCGGCAACUAACGAAACACACAGGAGUCCUACGGUUUUUGCUCAUGUUGGGAGCAUAAUGUUAAAGAUCCAGUGUGGUCCAAGAGAUAAGAGCCCAGGCUUACUUCAAAUUACAUCAUAGCAAGCAGGCAUACUCAAUGGGCUUUGCAGACAAAUUAUCUGUCAAUUUCAGUUUCCCAUCUGUAAACGAAAUAAGCAUCCAGCUCACAUUGCACAAAGCAAGCAUGAUGUAAGGGAGGCCUCAAACCAGGAGUGUAGCUGGGACUCUAAGGCAAAGGCUUUAGUCCUGUGGCAAGCUAGCUGGGUUUUUGCAACCCCAAGUGCUUUUUUUUUAAAAAAACACCUUUUUACUUAGGUAUUUAUAGGAUGUGCACAGGAAGGCAAUGACGCUCUGGUUGCUACUAGCUCUGCUACCUUUUGACCGUCUUCAGCGUGGUAUACUGAAUUACUGCAAGUUACUUGUGAUCAUUUUAUUAAGGGAAGAGACCCUCUGUACUCGCUUGGCUGUCUAGCCACUUAGGAAAUACUUUUUAUAGUUAUUAAUCACAAGGAGGACAGAUGUGGACUGGAACCUGGGGAACACAUUGAUGCUGGUUCCUGUGGGAUGCAAGUACUUGGCAACAGUAAUUCUAUGGAGGAGUUAUUUUUUAGUCAUGGCCUCUAGAGGUUCCACAGUGAUUUAGCUAAGGAGUUAGCAUUGCUGUGCUGACAGCUGCUCCCCAUCUAUUAUUGCCUAAUUUCUAAAUGAUGAUAUAUUGAAGUUUAUAAAGCCAUGUAAAAGAGAGAUCUCUGGUGUGUGUGUUUGGUAUUAUUUUCCAUGUUUCUAUUCUAUUUAACUUGAAGCAUAGGAAACUGGCCGUUACCAGGUCAGACUAUAAGUCCAUCCAUCCCAAUAUUGCAUAUUCUGGCUUGCAGCUGUUCUCCAAAGUCUCCCUACAAAGGUCUUCCACAUCACUGACUACUUGAUCCUGGAAGCGUCAGAGUUGAAACUGGGACCUUCUCCAUGGAAAGGAAACCGACAAGGAGAAAGUUCUGAGCUAUGCACUCCUAUAAUAUCAAGGUCAGAAUUUGGCCAGGUCAGAAAAUAUCGCAUCGCUUCUGUGUACACAUUCCCUGGCAGCAGAACUGCAUUGCAAAAUUCAGAGGCAGGCAAAUUUCAAAGGACAGCUAUGUUUCAGCUCACAUCUUGUGUGAGAAAGUGUGGGUUUGGCAGGUUCAUCUUCAAAAUCAGUCGAAUUUCUCACCCAGCCCUAAUACUGACAUCAAAUGAUUUCCUAGCUAAGGUGAGAUCAAAGCCAGAGACAUUAAAGCUUGCUGAUCUGUAAACUAUGCUACAGCUGGGAAACAGGUAAAUUCUGCAAAAUGUGAAACCUAGCCCAUUUAAAGUGCUAUAUGUUCAAACCAGAGCACUGAAUUGUCCCUGAGAGACUUGAAAAAGCCAGUGGAAAUGGAAACCAGUGCUAAUGCACCUCUACUGCCCUACUCCCAUUGAAAGGCAGGCUGCUGCAUUCUGGGCCAGGUAUCAAAGGAUGCACAUACCUGUAUAAUCUAGUCAGCCUUAACUAUUGGUUAAAGCAAGCUUUUAAAAGUUUAAUUCUGGACUGGAUGCAUGUUUAAAGGAUACCUAGAAAAGCCAGGACCAGCCAGUAAAAUCACACAUACACACCAUUCAAUUUUAAAACCGUGCCUACUAUUUAUUCUUGUUUCACUUUAUAAUAGCCAUGGCUUCGCUUCAGCCUGCUGUGCCAUCAGCAAUUCUUUAUCCUUCAUCAAUCCCCAAGGAGCUGUGGUUCAACCCAUCACUGUUUAGAACAGGGUGUCAGCUACAUAAUGACACCAAACACUUCUAUAGCCC